rnacentral:rRNA from 1 species
UCCGUAGGUGAACCUGCGGAAGGAUCAUUACCUAGAGUUGUAGGCUUUGCCUGCUAUCUCUUACCCAUGUCUUUUAAGUACCUUCGUUUCCUCGGCGGGUUCGCCCGCCGAUUGGACAAUUUAAACCAUUUGCAGUUGCAAUCAGCGUCUGAAAAAACUUAAUAGUUACAACUUUCAACAACGGAUCUCUUGGUUCUGGCAUCGAUGAAGAACGCAGCGAAAUGCGAUAAGUAGUGUGAAUUGCAGAAUUCAGUGAAUCAUCGAAUCUUUGAACGCACAUUGCGCCCCUUGGUAUUCCAUGGGGCAUGCCUGUUCGAGCGUCAUUUGUACCUUCAAGCUCUGCUUGGUGUUGGGUGUUUGUCUCGCCUCUGCGUGUAGACUCGCCUCAAAACAAUUGGCAGCCGGCGUAUUGAUUUCGGAGCGCAGUACAUCUCGCGCUUUGCACUCACAACGACGACGUCCAAAAGUACAUUUUUACACUCUUGACCUCGGAUCAGGUAGGGAUACCCGCUGAACUUAAGCAUAUCAAUAAGACGGAGG